rnacentral:sRNA from 1 species
AGCGCGGUCACGCCGAAUCCUGCCCGCCGUCGCUGUAACCCACCACGGGCAGGAGCGGGGGACCCAGGUUCCACGCGGCCGCCGACACCCGUCCCGACGGGACGGCGGCCACUCGGGGCGAAGCCACUGCGGUGGCGGGGCACCUUUCUGCUCCAGCCCGACAGCUCACUUCGCAGGCGCGGGAAGGAACU